CCCCAAAGAAAACGAAAUACGAUCAACGAACAGCAGUGGGAAACGAUAUUUGGCAUUGAUAGCGACUAGACGAGUAUACCAUUUUACUCGAUUGAUUCACGAAAACAAAGUGUGAAAUUCACGGCAGCAUUCGUAAACAAGAUCGAAAUAGGUGGACAAUUUUCAUACUACAACGGGCUAAGCCGCAUAGAGAGAGCCGCGUACAAUAAAUACAAAUAUUUGGACACCGGAAAAGCCGAAAACACACAGUAAACAUGUUGGCCUUCCACAACGAGCACAUUGCGAGCUGCGCUUUCCUGACCUACUAUACACCGGACAGCUCCACGGCCACGGCGGCCAGCUCGCCGACCUCAUCCGCCGCACAGACAACGACGCUCUUCGAUGACAA